UAAAGAUUCAUCGCUGAUAGAUAGGCAUGCGUUCCAUUAGGCAGUUGGCGGGGUAACGGCCCACCAAACCGACGAUGGAUAGGGGUUCUGAGAGGAAGGUCCCCCACACUGGUACUGAGACACGGACCAAACUCCUACGGGAGGCAGCAGUGAGGAAUAUUGGUCAAUGGGCGUAAGCCUGAACCAGCCAAGUCGCGUGAGGGAUGAAGGUUCUAUGGAUCGUAAACCUCUUUUAUAAGGGAAUAAAGUGUGGGACGUGUCCUAUUUUGUAUGUACCUUAUGAAUAAGGAUCGGCUAACUCCGUGCCAGCAGCCGCGGUAAUACGGAGGAUCCGAGCGUUAUCCGGAUUUAUUGGGUUUAAAGGGUGCGUAGGCGGCCUUUUAAGUCAGCGGUGAAAGUCUGUGGCUCAACCAUAGAAUUGCCGUUGAAACUGGGGGGCUUGAGUAUGUUUGAGGCAGGCGGAAUGCGUGGUGUAGCGGUGAAAUGCUUAGAUAUCACGCAGAACCCCGAUUGCGAAGGCAGCCUGCCAAGCCAUGACUGACGCUGAUGCACGAAAGCGUGGGGAUCAAACAGGAUUAGAUACCCUGGUAGUCCACGCAGUAAACGAUGAUCACUAGCUGUUUGCGAUACAGUGUAA
rnacentral:rRNA from 1 species